GCCUACGGGGGGCAGCAGUGGGGAAUAUUGCACAAUGGGGGAAACCCUGAUGCAGCGACGCCGCGUGAGUGAAGAAGUAUUUCGGUAUGUAAAGCUCUAUCAGCAGGGAAGAAAGGUGCCCCUUGGGCGCCUGGACGGUACCUGACUAAGAAGCCCCGGCUAACUACGUGCCAGCAGCCGCGGUAAUACGUAGGGGGCAAGCGUUAUCCGGAUUUACUGGGUGUAAAGGGAGCGUAGACGGCAGAGCAAGUCUGGAGUGAAAGCCCGGGGCCCAACCCCGGGACUGCUCUGGAAACUGUUAAGCU
rnacentral:rRNA from 1 species